rnacentral:rRNA from 1 species
UACGGAGGGUGCAAGCGUUAUCCGGAUUCACUGGGUUUAAAGGGUGCGUAGGAGGGCAGGGAAGUCAGUGGUGAAAUCUCCGGGCUUAACUCGGAAACUGCCGUUGAUACUCUCUGUCUUGAAUACCGUGGAGGUGAGCGGAAUAUGUCAUGUAGCGGUGAAAUGCUUAGAUAUGACAUAGAACACCAAUUGCGAAGGCAGCUCACUACACGAGCAUUGACUCUGAGGCACGAAAGCGUGGGGAUCAAACAGG